rnacentral:rRNA from 1 species
UGGGGAAUCUUCCGCAAUGGACGAAAGUCUGACGGAGCAACGCCGCGUGAGUGAUGACGGCCUUCGGGUUGUAAAGCUCUGUUAAUCGGGACGAAAGGCCUUCUUGCGAAUAGUGAGAAGGAUUGACGGUACCGGAAUAGAAAGCCACGGCUAACUACGUGCCAGCAGCCGCGGUAAUACGUAGGUGGCAAGCGUUGUCCGGAAUUAUUUGGCGUAAAGCGCGCGCAGGCGGAUAGGUAAGUCUGUCUUAAAAGUUCGGGGCUUAACCCCGUGAUGGGAUGGAAACUGCCAAUCUAGAGUAUCGGAGAGGAAAGUGGAAUUCCUAGUGUAGCGGUGAAAUGCGUAGAUAUUAGGAAGAACACCAGUGGCGAAGGCGACUUUCUGGACGAAAACUGACGCUGAGGUGCGAAAGCCAGGGGAGCGAACGGG